UACGUAGGGAGCAAGCGUUGUCCGGAAUCAUUGGGCGUAAAGCGCGCGUAGGUGGCUCUAUAAGUCCGUUGUGAAAGUCAAAGGCUCAACCUUUGAAAGCCGAUGGAUACUGUAGAGCUAGAGUCCGGAAGAGGCGAGUGGAAUUCCUGGUGUAGCGGUGGAAUGCGCAGAUAUCAGGAGGAACACCAAUAGCGAAAGCAGCUUUCUGGGACGGUACUGACGCUGAGACGCGAAAGCGUGGGGAGCGAACAGG
rnacentral:rRNA from 1 species